rfam:TPA: Bos taurus chromosome 5, whole genome shotgun sequence.
UCCCUAGUGGCUCAGAGAGUAAAGAAUCUGCCUGCAACGCAGGAGGCCUAGGUUCAAUCCCUAGGUCAGGAA